GUGGGGUAAGGGUAGGAGAACGCGGAGAGGAGCACCGAGCGCAGCAGCGAGUGCAGGUGCGCCACGGCCCACGACGCACGCACCAGCGCGGCGCAGCGCCAUGGCGUCACCAGCGUGCCGUAGCGCAGGGUCCGGCGCACCGCCGUCGCGCGGUCGUAGGACAUGGCCGCCAGGAGGUAGCGCUCGGUGAUGCCCAGAGCCAGGAAGAAGUACAUCUGGGCAAAGCACGCCUGGAAGGAUAUGGCCUGGCCCGGGUGGAGCAGGCCGGCCAGCAGCCUGGGGACCGUGACGGUGGUAAAGCAGACGUCCACGAGGCUCAGACAUGCCACAAAAUGUUGAAUGAAG
rnacentral:lncRNA from 1 species